GACGAACGCUGGCGGCGUGCUUAACACAUGCAAGUCGAACGGAAAGGCCCUGCUUUUGUGGGGUGCUCGAGUGGCGAACGGGUGAGUAACACGUGAGUAACCUGCCCUUGACUUUGGGAUAACUUCAGGAAACUGGGGCUAAUACCGGAUAGGAGCUCCUGCUGCAUGGUGGGGGUUGGAAAGUUUCGGCGGUUGGGGAUGGACUCGCGGCUUAUCAGCUUGUUGGUGGGGUAGUGGCUUACCAAGGCUUUGACGGGUAGCCGGCCUGAGAGGGUGACCAGCGACAUUGGGACUGAGAUGCGGCCCAGACUCCUACGGGAGGCAGCAGUGGGGAAUAUUGCACAAUGGGCGGAAGCCUGAUGCAGCAACGCCGCGUGCGGGAUGACGGCCUUCGGGUUGUAAACCGCUUUCGCCUGUGACGAAGCGUGAGUGACGGUAAUGGGUAAAGAAGCACCGGCUAACUACGUG
rnacentral:rRNA from 1 species